rnacentral:lncRNA from 1 species
UUUUUUUUUUUACGUUUUUUUUUUUUUUUUUUUUUUUUUUUAUUUAUGAUAGUCACACAGAGAGAGAGAGAGAGAGAGAGAGGCAGAGACACAGGCAGAGGGAGAAGCAGGCUCCAUGUACCGGGAGCCUGACGUGGGAUUCGAUCCCGGAUCUCCAGGAUCGCGCCCUGGGCCAAGGCAGGCGCCAAACCGCUGCGCCACCCAGGGAUCCCUUUUUACCUGCUUUUUAUAUCAGUUGCUGACAUGGGUGUAUCAAAAAUAUUUACUGUGACAGUUAUAGUUAAUUUGACUAUCUAACUUUCAGGUAUUUAAAAUUUUUGUUUUAUAUAUUUGAAAUCAAUUAUUAUUUAAGUACAUAAAAAUUUAUAAUUAUUUCAUUUUCCAAGUUAAUUUUUUAUUUCUAUAAUGUGUCUUUUUUAUAUGUCUAGUGGUGAGUUUUCUUUGAUAUUUAAUAGUUUCAUUAUUUCUGGAUAAUGGUUUCAUAUUUUUUCUAUGACUGUGCACACAUGUAUAUAUACGUAUUUUUUAAAUUCAUAAAUUAUUAUAUUAUAAUUACUUUUUUAUAUUAUAAUUACUAUACAAUUAGUACUUACAUAAAUUAGUGUUCUUUCUUUGCUGUUUAUUGGAUCCUGCAUCUUUGGGCUUCCAUCUGGGAUAAAUUUUCUUUUGCUUGAGAAUACUUAUUCAGACUCAUGAAUAUACAUGUAUUUGCUAAAGUUUUUGUCAGCUUUCAUUUUUCUGAAAUAAUCUUUGUUUAACCUGAUAUUUUGUUCAAUAUAGAAUUUUAAACUGGCAAUUGUUUUAUUUCACUACUAUUAAAAUAUAUUCUAUUGUCUUCUGACCUGUUUUAUUUGUCUUAAGGAUUCAGCUGUUAGUCUUAUUUCUAUGCCAAAUUUUAAAUAUCUGUUAUUUGUUUUCAGCAAUUUUAUUUUUAUAUAUUUACAUCAGAUUGAAUAGUGUGUCUCCAAAAUUCAUACUUACCCAGAACUUCAGCAUAUGAUCUUAUUUGGAAAUAGCAUCUUCUCAAAGGUAAUUAAGGUAAGGAUAACAAUUAGUGUAUAUUGGAUUAAGAUAGUCCCUAAAUGCUAUGUGAAUGUCCUCCUAAUAGACUGAAAAGGACAUACAGAGGCAAAGAAAAUGCCACAUGUUGACAAGAGGUUAUAAUGAUAAAACUCUAGGCCAUGGAUUGUCAAGAAUUGCUGGGAGACAUCAGAAGAUAAGAAAUGGCAAGGGAUGAGUCUUCCAUAUUGUCUUCAAAGGAAGCAUAGUGCUACUGACAUGUGGAUUUCAGACUUCUGGCCCACAUAAUAGUUUCAGAAAAAUUUUAUGUUGUUUGAACCCACUAUAUUUGUGGCAAUAUUUUUAUGACAGUUAUAGGAAGGUAAUACACUAUUUAAGUGUGUGUGUGUAUGUUUAUUCCCUAGUUGGAAUACAUAGCACUUCUUGAAACUAUAGUUUAAUGACAUCAGAUCUGAAACAUUUGUAGACAUUUUCUUCAAUUAUUUCUGAUCCUUCACCUUCUCAGUCUAGGACUCCAACUACAUCAUGUAACACAUUUUCACCAUGUUCACAUAUAACUCAAACACCUCCUACAUUUUAUCAUCUCUGUUUUCCAUGUUUCACUCUGGCUAUUUAAAUCUUCUAAGUUGGGAUGCCUGAGGGGCUCAGAGGUUUCAGCGUCAGCCUUGGGUUCAGGGCUUGAUCCUGGAGUUCCAGGGAUCGAGUCCCACGUUGAGCUCCCUGCAUGGAGCCUGCUUCUCCCUCUGCCUGUGUCUCUGCCUCUCUCUCUCUGCAUGUCUCUCAUGAAUAAAUAAACAAAAAAAGAUCUUUUAAAAAAUCUUAUAAAUCUUCCAGUUAAGCAAAUCUCACUUUAGUUGUUUAAUCCAUAAAACCCAUUCACGAGUUUUUAAAAUUUUUAAAAAUUAAACUUAAAUAGUGUUUUAUGCUUUUAUCCUAUCCUCCACUAUGCCCCCCUUUAGUCUGCUAUGUCUAUUAGCUCAUUAUUGUUGUUUGGAUUCCACAUAUGAGUGAGAUCAUUUUUCUUUAUCUGUCUCACUCAUUUUCACUUAGCAUAAUGCCCUCAAGUCCAUCCAUGUUGUCACAAAUAAAAAGAUGUCAUUUUUCUUAUGGUUGAAUAUAUUCUAUAUGUAUAUACAAUACAUUGUAUAUCUAUACUGCAAAUUCUUUAUCCAUUCAUCCAUCAAUGGGCAUUUAGGUUUUUUCCAUAUCUUGGCUCAUGUAGGUAAUGUUGCAGUAAAUAUAGGGUAUAUAUAUCUUUUUGAGUUAGUUUUGUGCUUUCUUUGGAUAAAUACCCAGAAUUGGAAUUGCUGAAUCAAAUGGUAAUUCUAUUUUUAAAUUUUGAGAAACCUCCAUACUGUUUUUCAUGUUUAUACCAAUUUAUAUCUUCACCAACAGUGCAUGAGGGUUCUCUUUUCUCCACGUCCUCACCAGCACUUGCUAUAUUUUAUCUUUCUGAUAAUAAUCAUUUUAACAGGGAUAAGGUGAUAUCUCAUGGUAGUUUUGAUUUAUAUUUCCCCAAUGAUUAGUAAUAUUGAACAUCUUUUCAUUUACCUGUUGACCAUGUAUGUCUUUGGAAAUCUGUCUAUUCAAGUCUAAACCAUUUUGUAUUUUUUCUUUUUGUUUGUUUUUUUUGCUAUUGUGUUGUAUAAGCUCUUUAUAUAUUAUGGAUAUUGUCCUCUGUUUUUGUGUUUCUUGC